GAUUCUGUCAGUCAGGUGCCCCUCCACCAGAUUUUAAUUUGGAAAGAAAUAGCAUGGAGUAAGAGAAUAAAGCACAGCAAACAGAAGUCCAAUUUCCCAGACCUCAUGAAUGCGGUGAUAUGGUGAAAAAUGCCAAGACAUCAUCUGUGGAUAAGAGAGGAAACAAGAUUGUUGGGGCUAAAACUUUGGACAAAUAUAAGACGACUCUGAAAGGUACAGAGGAGGCAGAAGAGUUAGGGACCUUGGAAUCCAAGGAAUGAUAUGGUGGCCAUACAAAUAAUGAUUGGUCUGAAUAUUCACGGCGUGGGACUGCUCUGGACAUAUUUGUUUCUCUCACAAACUUCUGCAUUUGGAAAAUCAUAUCUUCCUCUCUCGACAGUAACAGGAUACCCAUAUUGGUCAUCUGCAUGUUUUAUAUUCUCAGGAGUCCUUGCAGUAAUAGUAGAGAAGAGGCGUUCAAUAUUCUUGCUUUCCUAUACCAUAACAGUGAACAUUCUAAGUGCCUGCAUUUCAGUGAUUGGUCUGCUUUUACUAUCACUUGAGUUUAUGAUAUAUAGUGUGAGUACACAUGCUCCUAUUUGGCCAGAGAGAAGUGGUAAAAUUCUUUCAGAAUAUCUGUUCCUAUUCACCUUCCUCGAGUUGUUUUUGACGUGUACAGUGGUCCAUUGGGGAUACAAAGCAAAAUAUCACAGAUAAUAAAGACGUGUUUGUCAUAUCAGGAAUUUUUGCAAUAGAAGCAGAGAAGAUGUGUUCCCCAAAAUUGUUGAGGUGCACCAUAAAGACAAAUACCUACAGUUCUUGCCUUGCAGUGAUUGGCCUAUUUCUAAUUGGAUUUGAAAUUAUAUUCUUUUUAAUGAAACAAGAAAAAAUUGUAUGGAUACAGCAAAGUGGAAUGAUGCUUUCUGGGUAUUUGUGGCUCUUCUCUAUGUUGGAGUUCUUCCUGGCAAAUAUAGUGAUCAAUUGGGGGAACCAAGCAUUAUAUCAUGGCAACAAUCUCAUAUAAUGUUCAUGAUACAAGAGAAUCCUUUUAUUACAUAUUAAAGAAGAGAACCAUCAUGGCCUCAGUCCAGAAUGAAAAAUUUUAAUGGUGAAUGAAGGAAGAGCAUCAUCAUUUUGUUCAAGCAAUUUCUAGAAACACAUUUUAGUAAAGUUUGUCCAAUGUUUCU